rnacentral:rRNA from 1 species
GAUGAACGCUGGCGGCGUGCCUAAUACAUGCAAGUCGAGCGAAUGGAUUAAGAGCUUACUCUUAUGAAGUUAGCGGCGGACGGGUGAGUAACACGUGGGUAACCUGCCCAUAAGACUGGGAUAACUCCGGGAAACCGGGGCUAAUACCGGAUAACAUUUUGAACCGCAUGGUUCGAAAUUGAAAGGCGGCUUCGGCUGUCACUUAUGGAUGGACCCGCGUCGCAUUAGCUAGUUGGUGAGGUAACGGCUCACCAAGGCAACGAUGCGUAGCCGACCUGAGAGGGUGAUCGGCCACACUGGGACUGGGACACGGCCCAGACUCCUACGGGAGGCAGCAGUAGGGAAUCUUCCGCAAUGGACGAAAGUCUGACGGAGCAACGCCGCGUGAGUGAUGAAGGCUUUCGGGUCGUAAAACUCUGUUGUUAGGGAAGAACAAGUGCUAGUUGAAUAAGCUGGCACCUUGACGGUACCUAACCAGAAAGCCACGGCUAACUACGUGCCAGCAGCCGCAGUAA